rnacentral:tRNA from 1 species
GGUCGGUCGGCACGGCGAUGCCCCGGCCUUCGGCGCCGGCCGCCGCGUCGACCAGUUCGGCGGUCUCCUCGAUGGUCUCGGUGGACCGGCCG